rnacentral:snoRNA from 1 species
AGCUCAGUGAUUGCAGCCACUUACGUUGGCAAUAUACGCUAUACAGACCAUAGUUUGAUGACAAAUGAGAAUAUGAGAGCU